AGGUGAAUAGUUUAAUUGGGAGAAUGCAGUGGUCUAUGUUGAAUCUGCGGUGGUAGAUCGAAACUACCUUCGCCUA